rnacentral:lncRNA from 1 species
AUUUUUUGGGACUUUUUGGGGAUUUUUUUGGGGAUUUUUUGGGAAUUUUGGGGGAUUUUUGGGGGGAUUUUUUGGGGAUUUUUUGGGAUUUUUUGGGGAUUUUUUUGGGGAUUUUUUUGGGAUUUUUUGGGGGAUUUUUGGGGGGAUUUUUUGGGGAUUUUUUGGGGAUUUUUGGGGGGAUUUUUUGGGGGAUUUUUUGGGAUUUUUGGGAAUUUUUUUGGGACUUUUUGGGGAUUUUUGAGGGAUUUUUUGGGGAUUUUUUGGGGAUUUUUGGGGAAUUUUUUGGGAUUUUUUGGGAAUUUUUUUUAUUUUGGGGGAUUUUUGGGGGGAUUUUCUGCGGAUUUUUUGGGAAUUUUGGGGGAUUUUUCCGGGGAUUUUUUGGGAUUCUUUUGGGAUUUUUUUGGGAUUUUUGGGAUUUUUUGGGAUUUUUUUUUGAUUUUUUGGGGAUUUUUUUAUAUUUGUGGGUAUUUUUUGGAGAUUUUUUGGGAUUUUUUUGGGGAUUUUUAGGGAUUUUUUUGGGAUUUUUUUGGAUUUUUUUUUAUUUUUUGGGGAUUUUUUGUGCGAUGUUUUUAUUUUUGGGGGAUUUUUGGGGAAUUUUUGGGAAUUUUUUGACAAUUUUUGGGGAUUUUGGGGGGAUUUUUUGGGGAUUUUUUUUGAUUUUUUUGGGGAUUUUUUUGGAUUUUUUGGGGGAUUUUUUUGGGAUUUUUUUUGGGAUUUUUUUUAUUUUUUGAGGAUUUUUGGGGGGGAUUUUUUGGGAUUUUUUGGGGGAUUUUUUUGGGGAAUUUUUUGGGAUUUUUUGGGACUUUUUGGGGAUUUUUUGGGAUUUUUGGGGGAAUUUGGGGGAUUUUUUGGGGGAUUUUUUGGGGUUUUUGGGGGAUUUUUGGGUUUUUUUGGCAUUUUUUUGGUUUUUUGGGGAUUUUUUUUGGGAUUUUUUGGAUUUUUGGGGUUUUUUGGGUGUGAAAUCCCCCCCUGGAACCCCCAAAAUUCCCCAAAAUUCACCCGGGAUUCCCAAAAUCGAC